UGGAUCACCUCCUAACAGGGAGACAACAAAAUGUUUAAUAUUAAUUUUGUCACCUUAGGUCGAUCGGUAUCUCACAUUCUUAAUUUAUUAAGGAUUUUAUUUCCUAAGUUUUUUCUAGGUCACACCCAUUACUUUUCCUGGGCCAUUAGCUCAGGUGGUUAGAGCGCACCCCUGAUAAGGGUGAGGUCCCUGGUUCAAGUCCAGGAUGGCCCAUAUCUCUAUGUUGGGGGUAUAGCUCAGUUGGUAGAGCGCCUGCUUUGCAAGCAGGAUGUCAGCGGUUCGAGUCCGCUUACCUCCACUGAUUUCCACCUCUUCCAUAUUUUUAGAAGGGAAAUGUUUUGAGUUUUGAUCAAAUUCUGAACGAAUCUAGCUUCCUAAUAAAAAAUUUAUUAAGAUGCUGGACUCAUUGAAUUAUUUUCAUUGUUUUCAGAGAACCUUGACAACUGCAUAGAUUAUUUUUAAAGACAAUAAGCAUCUUUAAUGAUGCAGAUUUAUUAUUUGUGCGAAUGCAUUAAUAACAAUUCUAUUAAGCUGAUGCUUCAAUUUUUGAAGUUAUUGGUCAAGCUACAAAGGGCUCACGGAGGAUACCUAGGCACACAGAGGCGAUGAAGG
rnacentral:tRNA from 1 species